rnacentral:rRNA from 1 species
CCUACGGGUGGCAGCAGUGAGGAAUAUUGGUCAAUGGGCGCAAGCCUGAACCAGCCAAGUAGCGUGAAGGAUGACUGCCCUACGGGUUGUAAACUGCUUUUAUACAGGAAUAAAGUGAGGCACGUGUGGCGUUUUGUAUGUACUGUAUGAAUAAGGAUCGGCUAAUUCCGUGCCAGCAGCCGCGGUAAUACGGAGGAUCCGAGCGUUAUCCGGAUUUAUUGGGUUUAAAGGGAGCGUAGAUGGCUUGUCAAGUCAGCUGUGAAAGUUUGCGGCUCAACCCUAACAUUGCAAUGGAUACUGGCAGCCUUGAGUACAGGUGAGGUAGGCGGAAUUCGUGGUGUAGCGGUGAAAUGCUUAGAUAUCACGAAGAACCCCGAUUGCGAAGGCAGCUUGCUAAACUGCAACUGACGUUGAUGCUCGAAAGUGUGGGUAUCAAACAGGAUUAGAUACCCGUGUAGUC